GGGAGGUGAUUACAAGUGACUCAUAAUCCCUUGGUCGUAGGUUCGAGUCCUACCGGGCCCA
rnacentral:tRNA from 1 species